CACGCAGUAAACGAUGCAGACUAGGCGUGGGGGGACUUGACCCCCUCCGUGCCGUAGCUAACGCGUGAAGUCUGCCGCCUGGGGAGUACGGCCGCAAGGCUAAAACUCAAAGGAAUUGACGGGGGCCCGCACAAGCGGCGGAGCGUGCGGUUUAAUUCGACGCAACGCGUAGAACCUUACCAGGGCUUGACAUGCACCUGCAGAGCCGUGAAAGCGGUUGGCCUUCGAGGGUGGUGCACAGGUGC
rnacentral:rRNA from 1 species